rnacentral:rRNA from 1 species
GACGAACGCUGGCGGCGUGCCUAAUACAUGCAAGUCGAACGAACUCUGGUAUUGAUUGGUGCUUGCAUCAUGAUUUACAUUUGAGUGAGUGGCGAACUGGUGAGUAACACGUGGGAAACCUGCCCAGAAGCGGGGGAUAACACCUGGAAACAGAUGCUAAUACCGCAUAACAACUUGGACCGCAUGGUCCGAGCUUGAAAGAUGGCUUUGGCUAUCACUUUUGGAUGGUCCCGCGGCGUAUUAGCUAGAUGGUGGGGUAACGGCUCACCAUGGCAAUGAUACGUAGCCGACCUGAGAGGGUAAUCGGCCACAUUGGGACUGAGACACGGCCCAAACUCCUACGGGAGGCAGCAGUAGGGAAUCUUCCACAAUGGACGAAAGUCUGAUGGAGCAACGCCGCGUGAGUGAAGAAGGGUUUCGGCUCGUAAAACUCUGUUGUUAAAGAAGAACAUAUCUGAGAGUAACUGUUCAGGUAUUGACGGUAUUUAACCAGAAAGCCACGGCUAACUACGUGCCAGCAGCCGCGGUAAUACGUAGGUGGCAAGCGUUGUCCGGAUUUAUUGGGCGUAAAGCGAGCGCAGGCGGUUUUUUAAGUCUGAUGUGAAAGCCUUCGGCUCAACCGAAGAAGUGCAUCGGAAACUGGGAAACUUGAGUGCAGAAGAGGACAGUGGAACUCCAUGUGUAGCGGUGAAAUGCGUAGAUUAUAUGGAAGAACACCAGUGGCGAAGGCGGCUGUCUGGUCUGUAACUGACGCUGAGGCUCGAAAGUAUGGGUAGCAAACAGGAUUAGAUACCCUGGUAGUCCAUACCGUAAACGAUGAAUGCAAAAGGUGUUGGAGGGUUUCCGCCCUUCAGUGCUGCAGCUAACGCAUUAAGCAUUCCGCCUGGGGAGUACGGCCGCAAGGCUGAAACUCAAAGGAAUUGACGGGGGCCCGCACAAGCGGUGGAGCAUGUGGUUUAAUUCGAAGCUACGCGAAGAACCUUACCAGGUCUUGACAUACUAUGCAAAUCUAAGAGAUUAGACGUUCCCUUCGGGGACAUGGAUACAGGUGGUGCAUGGUUGUCGUCAGCUCGUGUCGUGAGAUGUUGGGUUAAGUCCCGCAACGAGCGCAACCCUUAUUAUCAGUUGCCAGCAUUAAGUUGGGCACUCUGGUGAGACUGCCGGUGACAAACCGGAGGAAGGUGGGGAUGACGUCAAAUCAUCAUGCCCCUUAUGACCUGGGCUACACACGUGCUACAAUGGAUGGUACAACGAGUUGCGAACUCGCGAGAGUAAGCUAAUCUCUUAAAGCCAUUCUCAGUUCGGAUUGUAGGCUGCAACUCGCCUACAUGAAGUCGGAAUCGCUAGUAAUCGCGGAUCAGCAUGCCGCGGUGAAUACGUUCCCGGGCCUUGUACACACCGCCCGUCACACCAUGAGAGUUUGUAACACCCAAAGCCGGUGGGGUAACCUUUUAGGAGCUAGCCGUCUAAGGUGGGACAGAUGAUUAGGGUGAAG